GGAGUGGGUUGCAAAAGAAGUAGGUAGCUUAACCUUCGGGAGGGCGCUUACCACUUUGUGAUUCAUGACUGGGGUGAAGUCGUAACAAGGUAACCGUAGGGGAACCUGCGGUUGGAUCACCUCCUU
rnacentral:rRNA from 1 species